rnacentral:rRNA from 1 species
ACUACGGGAGGCUGCAGUGAGGAAUAUUGGUCAAUGGGCGGAAGCCUGAACCAGCCAAGUAGCGUGCAGGAUGACGGCCCUACGGGUUGUAAACUGCUUUUAUACGGGAAUAACGCGCCUUACGUGUAGGGCUUUGCAUGUACCGUAUGAAUAAGGACCGGCUAAUUCCGUGCCAGCAGCCGCGGUAAUACGGAAGGUCCGGGCGUUAUCCGGAUUUAUUGGGGUUAAAGGGAGCGUAGGCCGCAUGUCAAGCGUGCUGUGAAAUGGCCGGGCUCAACCCGGGCCUUGCAGCGCGAACUGGCGUGCUUGAGUCCGCGGAAAGCAGGCGGAAUUCGUCGUGUAGCGGUGAAAUGCUUAGAUAUGACGAAGAACCCCGAUUGCGAAGGCAGCUUGCUGCAGCGGAACUGACGCUGAUGCUCGAAAGCGCGGGUAUCGAACAGGAUUAGAUACCCCGGUAGUC